rnacentral:rRNA from 1 species
AUGAGAUAUAUCCGAGAGUUGGAAGAUUGUAAACCCAAUAAGAGUGGGUCGCCUGCAGCUAGAAGUACUGAACAACCAAGGCAAAAGUGGAUCCCUCCACCGCCGGGUCUCUCGAAGAUCAGGGUAGACGGUGCGGUCUCCAGAGAUAACCUGUAUGGCUCCUUCAGCGCCAUCUGCAGAGAUUCUUCGGGUCAGUUCUUGGGUGCUUCAGUAAUCAAAACAUAUGGCAUCACGGAGCCUGCAACUCUCGAAGCGCUAGCUUGCCGGGAGGCGCUUGCGCUAGCUUCAGAUUUGGCAUUGACCGAUUUCAUUGUUGCUUCUGACUGCCAAGGUGUAGUUAAUGAUAUCAAUCAUGGUACGGGAGGGACGUAUGCAAGCACAGUCAAGGAGAUUGUUGAGCCAUCAAGAGACUUUCAUCAGUGUACCUUCAUCUUCGGAGGUAGAACCACCAAUAUUGAGGCGCAUAGUCUCGCUAAACACGCUUUCGGUCUAGAUCAUGGGCGCCAUUUGUGGCUCAUAAACCCACCAGACAUUCAUUGUAUCCCUAUGAACUUCUUGAUUAAUAAAGUGUGUUUAGGCUAA